rnacentral:misc_RNA from 1 species
UACGAACUGUGCAAACGUUAUUCGGAAUCACUGGGCUUAAAGGGUGCGUAGGCGGCCAUUUAAGUAGGGUGUGAAAGCUCCCGGCUCAACCGGGGAAUGGCGCUCUAAACUGGAUGGCUUGAGUGAGACAGGGGUGUGCGGAACUGCCGGUGGAGCGGUGAAAUGUGUUGAGAUCGGCAGGAACGCCGGUGGCGAAAGCGGCACACUGGGUCUCGUCUGACGCUGAGGCACGAAAGCCAGGGUAGCGAACGGG